rnacentral:rRNA from 1 species
CUAAGAAUCUUGCGCAAUGGGCGAAAGCCUGACGCAGCAAUUCCGCGUGGGGGACGAAGGCCCUCGGGUCGUAAACCCCUUUUGCGAGGGAAGAAGUUCUGACGGUACCUCGCGAAUAAGACACGGCUAACUACGUGCCAGCAGCCGCGGUAAUACGUAGGUGUCGAGCGUUGUCCGGAUUUAUUGGGCGUAAAGCGCCCGCAGGCGGCUUGGCAAGUUCGAGGUGAAAUCUCCCGGCUCAACUGGGAGG